UCUGUGAUGGGGUUGGAUCGGGGUUCUGUGAUGGGGUUGGAUCGGGGUUCUGUGAUGGGGUUGGAUCGGGGUUCUGUGUUGGGGUUGGAUUGGGGUUCUGUGUUGGGGUUGGAUUGGAGUUCUGUGUUGGGGUUGGAUUGGGGUUCUGUGAUGGGGUUGGAUCGGGGUUCUGUGAUGGGUUGGAUCGGGGUUCUGUGAUGGGGUUGGAUCGGGGUUCUGUGAUGGGGUUGGAUCGGGUUGGAUCGGGGUUCUGUGAUGGGGUUGGAU